AACCCAUGGUGAGGGCACCUUCUCAAUAAGUCCUUGUAUCUCUCUAAUGCAUCGUAAAGUGUUUCUAAAUCCAUAUACACAAAAAAAGAGAUAUCAUUACGUAAUUU
rnacentral:snoRNA from 1 species